CCUACGGGCGGCAGCAGUGAGGAAUAUUGGUCAAUGGACGCGAGCCUGAACCAGCCAAGUAGCGUGAAGGAUGACUGCCCUACGGGUUGUAAACUUCUUUUAUAAAGGAAUAAAGUGAGGCACGUGUGCCUUUUUGUAUGUACUUUAUGAAUAAGGAUCGGCUAACUCCGUGCCAGCAGCCGCGGUAAUACGGGGGAUGCAAGCGUUAUCCGGAUUUAUUGGGUUUAAAGGGUGCGUAGGAUGGGUGGUAAGUCAGGUGUGAAAUGCCACCGCUCAACGGGAUGAAGUGCAAUUGAUACUGGCAGUCUUGAGUGCAGAUGAGGUGGGCGGAAUGUGUGGUGUAGCGGUGAAAUGCUUAGAUAUCACACAGAACCCCGAUUGCGAAGGCAUCUCACGAAUCCGUGAUUGACGCUGAUGCACGAAAGCGUGGGUAUCAAACAGGAUUAGAUACCCGAGUAGUC
rnacentral:rRNA from 1 species